UGAAACUUGUGUGUGUGUGUGUGUGUGUGUGUGUGUGUGUGUGUGUGUGUGUGUCCCACACACACACACACACACACACACACACACACACACACAAAAAUUGAUUUCAGACCACUGGGAACAUAA